rnacentral:rRNA from 1 species
UACGUAGGGUGCAAGCGUUGUCCGGAAUUAUUGGGCGUAAAGAGCUCGUAGGCGGUUUGUCGCGUCUGCUGUGAAAAUCCAGGGCUUAACCCUGGACCUGCAGUGGGUACGGGCAGACUGGAGUGCGGUAGGGGAGAUCGGAAUUCCUGGUGUAGCGGUGAAAUGCGCAGAUAUCAGGAGGAACACCGGUGGCGAAGGCGACUUUCUGGCCUGUUCUUGACGCUGAGGCGCGAAAGCUAGGGGAGCAAACGGG